UACAGAGGUCUCAAGCGUUGUUCGGAUUCAUUGGGCGUAAAGGGUGCGUAGGCGGCGCGGUAAGUCGGGGUGUGAAAUCUUGGAGCUUAACUCCGAAACUGCAUUCGAUACUGCCGUGCUUGAGGACUGGAGAGGAGACUGGAAUUUACGGUGUAGCGGUGAAAUGCGUAGAUAUCGUAAGGAAGACCAGUGGCGAAGGCGGGUCUCGUGGACAGUUCCUGACGCUGAGGCAACGAAGGCCCAGGGGGAGCAAACGGGG
rnacentral:rRNA from 1 species